rnacentral:rRNA from 1 species
GAUGAACGCUGGCGGCGUGCUUAACACAUGCAAGUCGAACGAAGCACUUUAUUUGAUUUCCUUCGGGACUGAUUAUUUUGUGACUGAGUGGCGGACGGGUGAGUAACGCGUGGGUAACCUGCCUUGUACAGGGGGAUAACAGUUGGAAACGGCUGCUAAUACCGCAUAAGCGCACAGCAUCGCAUGAUGCAGUGUGAAAAACUCCGGUGGUAUAAGAUGGACCCGCGUUGGAUUAGCUAGUUGGUGAGGUAACGGCCCACCAAGGCGACGAUCCAUAGCCGACCUGAGAGGGUGACCGGCCACAUUGGGACUGAGACACGGCCCAAACUCCUACGGGAGGCAGCAGUGGGGAAUAUUGCACAAUGGGCGAAAGCCUGAUGAAGCGACGCCGCGUGAGCGAAGAAGUAGUUCGGUAUGUAAAGCUCUAUCAGAAGGGAAGAUAAUGACGGUACCUGACUAAGAAGCACCGGCUAAAUACGUG